rnacentral:rRNA from 1 species
AUGGCUUCCUCGUCUCCAUCACCUGAGUUUACCCCGAUGAUCCUCAUGGUCUUCCAUCUUUUCCUCACUUUCACACUCGUUGACCGCGUGUUGUGUAUGCGUCUAUUGAUGUGCCAUCUUCCCCGCCUCAGCCUACUUACGGCUUGCCUUCUCAUAUGUUUCCGCCAAUUGACCACCCUGAUUUUUCAAGCGCUUGCGCUGCUUUUCUUGAGUCGAUUUCUUAUCGUGACUGUUGCUUAUCUGAAAUGGCAGUUUACGAUGGUAGAGGAGAUUGUUGCUCAUCUGAAAUGGCAGUUUACGAUGGUAGAGAAGACUGUUGCUCUUGAGCGUACCGGCACGUGGGAUCUUGUUUCUCUUCCUCUUUGUGUUCGUCCCAUCACUUGUAAGGGGUUUACAAGGUUAAGACUCGCUCUGAUGGUUCCGUUGCGUUACAAAACUCGUCUUGUGGCUCGUGGCUUUCAGGAGGUGCUUGGUCUUGAUUACAAGACUUUUUGCUAA